AUGGAAAUUUGGUCUCUCUGACAAGUUCAAUUUCUGAAAAUUGGCUUAAUUCUAGAAAUUGGGGGACAAUUUUCAACAUUAUUUUGAGGAAGUAUUUUUCAGCCACCUGAUCAUCAGUCUUUGAGUUUUAUUAUUGUAUUAUAGGAGGAUCAAUGUCCUUUGUUAUUUUUGAAUAUGUGAUAAUUUUAUCUACUUUUUGUUUUGUUUUGAAUUUUAGCGCUAACUUGUCUAUUAUCUCCAUUGCUACCAGGAAACCUGGAUUAGAAGCAUGUGCUGCUCUCAGACCUGGCCUACAGAGAAGAACUGACACAGACUUCCUUAGAUGUGUUGUCUUCCUGUCACUGGUGCAUUCCUUAUCAAUGUGAAUCCAAAAUUCUUAUCAAGUUAUCUUCAAUCUAUGCAAGGAAAAUAUUUAUCCCAAAGGAGGAUUUUCAGAAGAUGACACAUGAGGGGCAUUCAUCACAGUCAAGUCUUUUGUUUUGAAAUACGGAAUCUGCAUACCUACUGCUUUCCAAGUUUUGUAAAAAAAAAAGAAGAAAAAAGCAAAAUGCUCUGAGAAUUAUCUAAUUCAUUUUUGCAUAAAGAAUUUCCAUUUUCUAUUUUUCCGUUGUCUAAUUCACUUGCAUAAAGAAUUUUCUUUUUCAUGUUUCAAUUCACAUCUAACAAAUGUUAUCAUACUUUUUCAAAUACUCUUUAUUUCAUUCACUGUAAUUCCAAUUGGCUUAGUUAAUAAUCUUACAUGUGUAAACCAUCCUCAGCCUUUAAAUAAGGUUCUUGUUCUGGGAUUAAAGAAAAAUUUUAAUCAAUCAAUUAAUUACUAAUUGCAUUUUGCAUUUAGCACCUACUGCCUCUGAAUUUUUUAACUGAAAAUAUACCUACUCUUAUAUUUUUAUUUUAGCGUUUAUUUUUCAAGUCUGCUAGUGACAAUCCAAAUUAUAUUUUUUAAUCCAGAUAUUUUUAAUUUAGAAAUUAGGAGAGGAAUUUUGGUAAGCCACACUAUCCUCUGAGGAGCAACUGAAUAUAUUAGAAUUCUAAAUGGUACCACACGAUGGGAAAAAAAUGGCAAAAAUAAUCCCAAAGUCUAUAUUAUGUUGAAAACUUCAAAUGAAAUUCUAAGUCUUCACUAACUGAAUGGACUCAUUUUUGGCCCAGCGGAUGCCAGAAAACCCUUAAGAUUGAAUUCCUGGACAUGACAGGAUGGGCGGUGAGGUAUGGCUCAUUAUACUCCCUCACUUUUGGGGUUUAGACACAACUGACCAGCAUAGAUGUUAAAAUACAGAUUAUAAGAAUGGCAGAACAGACUCUCUGACAAUACGAUAUCAAAUUAUAAACAGAACCUAAACCCAUGGCAGGCGAGGUUUAAGUCACUUACCUACCCUUGAAGAAUAAGCUUGUUCUCACUGCCAUAGCUUUUUUUUUUUUUUUUGUCUUUCUCUAGCAGCUAAAUAAGCACUGGCCUGGAGAUAAGCACUAGUGAAAGAAUUUGCAGCUCAUCCACUGCUGGACCCUGAUUAAGUGACCCCCUGUUCCACAAGCCAUGACUCCAGCUUUGACUGGACAAGAGACUGAUUUCAGUAGCUUUUUUUCAUAUAAGAAGACCAUUGACUGUGGAAUGAUUCCAGAGGCUGCACACUGUCAGGACUUCAUGUCCUGAAAAGACCUUUUGACAUGUACGGCCUGAUUGCAAUGCAUUUGAAUGUUGUCUCCACCCUAAAGUGAACAUGGAUCAUAUGUUACAUGCACGUUUGUUCAAUGCCCAUGUGGCAAGACCCCUUGAUGAAUAUUCGUAACUCCUCCUGUAACCUGUUGAAUAUGUAUGUCCUACCCCAACCCCUCCUCCUUCAUGGUGCCUGUCUUUGGUCUUGACUAGAGGCCAACCUGCAGGUUGGCCACCUGGCAGGCUGUAACCCUAAGAAAUAAAAACUUCUUUUCUCCUUUUCAAAAUGUAUAAAUUGUGAUUUCUAUUAAGUCAACAAUGUCCAGGAAUAAUGUUAUUCUUGAGACAGUUUUAUGAUCUGAGCUUUGUUCAAAAACUGGAAAAGUUACAAAGUAAAACCAUAAUUUUCUUUAGUGGGUUAACUGUGUGCCAAUUUAAAUUUAAUUUUUUCAGCUGUGUUGAGGAAAAAUUUAUGCCUCCGAAGCUGCACAUGUAGAAAUUUCACAAUUUGAAGAAUUUUCACAUAUGUAUGCUGGGUGAAACCACACCAUAAUCAAGAUACCCAACAUUUCUACCUUCCCCAAAAGUUUCUUCACACCGUUGUGCAUUCAUCUCUUCAUUCAACCCUUUCUCUGCAAUCAAUGGUUUACUUCUCGUCAGUAUGGAUUAAUUUGCAAUUUCAAGAAUGUUGUAUAAAUGAAAUUAUAGAGCAGUACGUUUUUGUCUGAUUUUAUUCACUCACAGAAUUAUUUCAAGAUCCAUCCAUAUUGUUGCAUGAUUCAGAAGGCUGCUCUUUUUAUAUUGCUGAGUAGUUUUCAAUGGAAUAUACUACAUUUUGUAUAUCCAUAAGCCUAUCAUGUGCAUUUUGGAAUGUUUCCAUUUUUUUGGUAAUUGCAAAUAAAACUGCAAUGAACACUCAUGUAUAAGUCUUUGUAUAGACAUGUAUGGCUUUCUU
rnacentral:lncRNA from 10 species